GAUGAACGCUGGCGGUGUGCCUAACACAUGCAAGUCGAACGGCAGCACAGUAAGAUCUUGCUUUUACGGUUGGCGGGUGGCGGACGGGUGAGGAAUACAUCGGAUUCUACUUUUUCUUGGGGGAUAACGGGGGGAAACUUACGCUAAUACCUCAUACGACCUACGGGUUAAAGCAGUGGAUCUUCGGACCUUUCGCGAUUGAAUGAGCUGAUGUCGGAUUAGCUUGGUUGCGUGGUAAAGGCCCACCAAGGCGAGGAUACGUAGCUUGUCUGAGAGGAUGAUCAGCCAAACUGGAAAUGGAAACCGGGCCCAAAUCCUAAGGGAGGCAGGAGUGGGGAAAAUUGGCGAAAUGGGGGAAGCCCGAACCAGCCAAACCGCGUGGGUGAAGGAGGCCUUCGGGUUGUAAAGCCCUUUUGUUAGGAAAGAAAAGCAGCAGAUUAAUACCCCGAUGUCCUGACGGUACCCAAAGAAAAAGCAACGGCUAACUUCGUG
rnacentral:rRNA from 1 species